UCCCUGAUGGCUCAGUGGUAAAGAAUCUGCCUGCCAAUACAAGAGAUAUGAGUUCAAUCCUCAAUCAGGGAA
rnacentral:tRNA from 1 species